UCAAGACAUAAAAAAUUGUUGCGAUCCAUUUGCAUUUCAAUCAACUGUAUCUUAAACAAGAGAAAAGCAUAAAAUAUUUUGCAUGAAAAAGUAAAAAAAAUUGAAACCCGAUCGAAGAAUCAGCUUCUCGUUAGGAAUUUCACGCUAUUGUAUAUAAAAUUUCGGCACAGAUAACGCGUCACUAAAAAUAAACAUAUCUAACUGAUUUAUUCACCGUCCUUCACCGUUCUAUAUCGGAUCAACAAGUUUCGAGCGACGAAAGAACGCCAUUACGAAUUACUCUCUCAGGGGUUAUCAGACGCGUUCACGAUAUAUCUUCACGCGCAGCUUUAUCAGUUCUUCGAAAACUCUGUUUUGUCUUCGCGUUGGAUCAGCAAUUAAUACGAUUGCACGUGACAGCAAAGACAAAUCCCACGGGAUGUCGUCGAGAGAGUCUUCAAAAGGACCGCCACCUUUUUGUAGCGACCGCCUAUUCGUGGAAACGCUCUUCUUCUCGGAAAAUACAAGACGAUAAAUCCACCGGUGGUCCAGCGGCUUGCGGCUAAUUAAACCGGAUCAAAGCCACUUAAAGUGCUCGUUAAAGUGCUUGUCCUCGUUUUCUCCCUGUUUCCAAUAGCACGACGGGUAUUCUCCGCAUCAUUAAAGUACGGCUCCUGCAAUCACGUUGAUGUAAAUUUUUCUACAAGAAGAGAGAAGAGCAAAAAUAUUUCGAUCGCACAAAUUGCAAAUUUUAUAUUUCUAAUAUUUAUUGAACGAUGAUUACCAUAUUGAUUUCUGAUGCGUCUCUUGGAGGAACACGAAUCCAAAAACUCGUCGGCAAUGCGUCAAAAAGUGCGUUUUUUUCUCAAGCACGGAAGAACGCAGAAUCAGGAAACCAUGGAGGUUUCAAAGUCCAUCGUAAGAAAUUUCCUUGCCCCAUAAAACGUUGCGUCGCGAUGCUAUUGGUCGCGGACCUAUACAAACCCUAUCGUAAAAUUGCGUUUGCCUCGUGGCAAGGAUGUCAACGGUAGCAGGAAAUCAUGAUCCGAUCGCCCCACAUUUCCGACCGAAACCGGUCAACCUGUCUGCCUCGGGAAAAAUCUUUGUUCACCUUGAUCGGAAUUUUCUCUCCUUUUUUUGAACCUCUCUUUGACAAUAAACUCACUAGAGUGCUCGGAUUUUACAUCGGGAAACUGAAAAUCAAAAAUUUAUAUCCUGCAAAAUGUAUAUUAAUGAACUGAUGAUUCAAUUAAAUCUGAAUUGUGCUGUCAUGUUCCUUUGUUUGCAAUUUCGCCGUCAAUUCGCAUAGUUGAGAUUUCCCGUAGGGCGCGCAACCAGGCAGCAUCGGUCGGCCGAUGGCCUCGUAAAUUAUCCAGGUUUGUCGCCGCGGACAGAAACGAAUAGACACCGAGGAUAUUAGGAUAUUAUGACAGUGAGACACAGCAGUGGCCCGUAACCGCGGUCGACUUUCUGAUCUCCUGGAGACCAGGGACGUCUCUCGGCGCUGAUACCACAUGACGGAGCGCGUAUCGCGCGGCGUGCGUGCGUUAGACGACACGCACAACGGCGCAUGGCGCCGAGACAAAUACACACAUUCCAAAGAUGCAGAUUACUUUUUUUCUUCUGUCGCAUUCUUUCUUUUCCUCUCCUUCUCUUCUCUUCGCCCUUUUCUUUCUCUC